rnacentral:rRNA from 1 species
UACAGAGGGUGCAAGCGUUAAUCGGAAUUACUGGGCGUAAAGCGUGCGUAGACGGUAGCGUAAGUCGGGUGUGAAAGCCCCGGGCUCAACCUGGGAAUGGCAUUCGAGACUGCUCUGCUAGGGUGCGGAAGAGGGGAGCGGAAUUUCCGGUGUAGCGGUGAAAUGCGUAGAUAUCGGAAGGAACACCAGUGGCGAAAGCGGCUCCCUGGUCCAGCACCGACAUUCAGGCACGAAAGCGUGGGGAGCAAACAGG